GGAGAGGUGGCCGAGUGGUUGAAGGCGCACGCUUGGAAAGCGUGUAA
rnacentral:tRNA from 1 species